rnacentral:rRNA from 1 species
ACGCUCGACACCUACUGGAGGCAGCAGUGGGGGAAUAUUGCACAAUGGGGGAAACCCGUGAUGCAGCAACGCCGCGUGAAGGAAGACGGUUUCGGAUUGUAAACUUCUGUUCUUAGUGAAGAUAGUGACGGUAGCUAAGGAGCAAGCCACGGCUAACUACGUACACGCAGCCGCGGUAAGUACUGAGCGGGCGUGGCGAAGGACG